GCCUUUUAUUACUGCAUACACCCUAGCAUCUCCUAAGAUCACCUGCUGCUGGUAUGGGAGGUGCCAUGGACACAGGACAAAGUCCAAGACAGCAUCUCAUCAAAACCUGAGGAAAAAGCAUCACAUACUUGCAGGCAUUGAUUCACUUCUUAGAAGAUCUUUCCUGAAUCUUGGCAAGGAUAUUUCUUUGUGAUUCAGGCUAAUGUUAAAACACCAUGUGUCAUUCCUCCUCUCAUGACAGCAUCAAAUAUAUUGGGUGAAUGCAUGGCUGAUUAUGCAAAUUGGAGCUAUGGAGGCCUAUGUGGUAUCAAAUAUGGGGACAGUGACAUAAAACUCAUCUUCAGUGUUAAGAAAUUCGCCUCACUCCCUCAGAUGGCCUUAUACAGGACAAAACAUCAACAGAGAGAAAUAGCUCUUUGCUUUAAAGCUUGGUUUCACCAACUCAUUGUCUGGAUAACUGCAUGUUCUCCUUAAAAUGGAAACAUUAAGCAUUUAAGUAACCCAUACAAUGUGCUUUCAUGGGACUAACUCAAUAGUUCCUUAAACUUUGACAGACAUGAUGUCUGUUAUAUUCUGCUAAGUGGACAACUCUAUCUGUUCUUGUAUGCUUUAAGCAAUAAAACCCACUGUUUCUA